rnacentral:rRNA from 1 species
UACGGAGGUCCCAAGCGUUGUUCGGAUUCACUGGGCGUAAAGGGUGCGUAGGUGGUGAGGUAAGUCGGAUGUGAAAGCUCGGAGCUCAACUCCGAAAUGGCAUUGGAAACUACCUUGCUCGAGGGUUGGAGGGGGGACUGGAAUGCUUGGUGUAGCAGUGAAAUGCGUAGAUAUCAAGCGGAACACCAGUGGCGAAGGCGAGUCCCUGGACAAUACCUGACACUGAGGCACGAAAGCUAGGGGAGCAAACAGG